rnacentral:rRNA from 1 species
GUGGGGAAUCUUAGACAAUGGGGGCAACCCUGAUCUAGCCAUGCCGCGUGAGUGAUGAAGGCCUUAGGGUCGUAAAGCUCUUUCGCCGGGGAAGAUAAUGACUGUACCCGGUAAAGAAACCCCGGCUAACUCCGUGCCAGCAGCCGCGGUAAUACGGAGGGGGUUAGCGUUGUUCGGAAUUACUGGGCGUAAAGCGCGCGUAGGCGGAUCGGAAAGUUGGGGGUGAAAUCCCGGGGCUCAACCCCGGAAUUGCCUUCAAAACUCCCGGUCUUGAGGUCGAGAGAGGUGAGUGGAAUUCCGAGUGUAGAGGUGAAAUUCGUAGAUAUUCGGAGGAACACCAGUGGCGAAGGCGGCUCACUGGUCCGGUACUGACGCUGAGGUGCGAAAGCGUGGGGAGCAAACAGGAUUAGAUACCCCUGUAGUCC